CCUGUCGCGACGACUAACUGCAGCGGAGCGGAACUACGACGUGGGAGAUCGUGAGCUGCUGGCAGUGAAGGCGGCGCUGGAGGAGUGGCGGCACUGGCUCGAGGGGGCACAGCACCCUUUUUUGACCGGGCUCAAGAAAUACCAAGCCUGACGCCUUAUCCCGUCUUUUCAGCCCGGAGCCCGUGGCCAGGGAACCUGAGCCCAUCCUCCCACUACACUGUGUGGUUGGAGCGGUUACCUGGCCUAUAGAGACCAAGGUGAUCCACUGGGCUCACUCGUCUUUGCUCACCUGCCAUCCGGGCGUACGUCGGACCAUGUUCGCCAUCACGCAGAGGUUCUGG
ensembl:lncRNA